UUUAUAAUCAAUAGGAAUAUCGACAGGAACGAUAUAUAACGAUUAGUAUAUUGUAUAAAUCAAUUGAACAGGUUUUCAAUUCAGAUACAUAUAAAUAAAAUAACAAUGCAUAUUUUUUCCCCUUGAUUUGUAUUUUGGUAGUACUUUGCUACAAUUUUCGUAUGUUCCGAUAACCGAUUUACAAAAAUACUCACAAAUUAUGGUUUUUAACUUACUAAAACUCGGUCCAGUGCGAUUUGGUCGAUACGAGGGUCAACAUUGCAUGCGAGUGGUUAUGUAGCG